AUCGGUUUGUAGUACAGACCUAUUUAUGUAAGCCAUUUAAGUAAAGCAGUUCCUAGUUAAAGCGAUAUUUUUAGACAUCACUUCUCCGACGAAUUUCCUUCUUUAGUGCCCCCAUAAGUAACUCUUGAUAAACAGACCUCAAUAGCCAAAUAUUGGCCCUAAUAAUGAAGGAAAUAUCUUAUGUCUACUAAAAUGACUGGUUUAGUAAAAUGGUUUGAUGCAGGUAAAGGUUUUGGUUUUAUUUCUCCUGCUGACGGUAGCAAAGAUGUAUUCGUACAUUUCUCUGCAAUCCAAGGCACAGAGUACAAAACUCUUGAUGAAGGCCAGAACGUAGAGUUCAGCAUCGAGCAAGGCCAGAAAGGCCCUUCAGCUGUAAACGUAGUCGCUCUGUAAUUUAUACAGCGGCAAUAAACGUUUAGUUGUCAUUAAACCUCGCCAUGGCGAGGUUUUUUGU
rfam:Yersinia mollaretii ATCC 43969 contig01616, whole genome shotgun sequence.